rnacentral:rRNA from 1 species
CACCAUAUUAAUAAGUCUUAAACUAUCUUCCUCUUCAUAUGAAUGUCUUUAAUUAGAUAGAUAAACGCCUGUGACAGUAUACUUGUGCAUCAGACGUUCAAAAUUUAUAAAGUACCGUUCCGUUACCGAAUACUACAUGACUACAUGAGAGAACCAGAGGAGAGUGAUACAUACUACCGUUCCGUUACCGAUGACACUGUUCUUCGUAACGUAUUUAGUCGAUACGGAGCACAGAUGUGUCAACAGCAGGUGAAGUAAGAGUAAAAAGUUAAUAUGCUCUGUCGUUUAGUUUUCUAGUGAACCUGUACCAGAUCGACGUGUAUAAUCGUUAUCUUACAUAUGUUGUUGUUUUUAUCUACCAGACGUGUUGUGUUCUGGUUUAAUGAAUAUCAUCUAGCUUGUCUAGUGCGGCUUAUAACCGAAGAAAGAGAACGGUCUCAUUAAAAGACCCUGACCAAAGGUCGAAAAGUUAUUAGGAAAAUAGCGUUAAGGUAAGGAGUAACUUGAUAUGUGUACUUAGUUGGUUACUUUUAGUCCACUUUUAUUUCUUUUGUUUCAAUAAUCAUACGAUUUCUUGUUGUCAUUUUUUUAGCCUACAGAAACUGACUUUUUACCUCUACGAACACUAUUAGUCAUUUGGUUGUUAUUUCAACAACGGUUAUUAUUAAAUCGUACGUCGGAGUUCAUCGGGUACAAGUUGAUAAUGGUUUCUCCUUAUAUUGCCUAAUGGAAUGGAGUAUAGUAUCAACAAUAUGAGUAAGUUUUUCAACCGACGUUAUUGACAAGUUUUUCUAGGUUUAAAGAGGACUUUGUAUUAUCUUUGCAGUACGACAACCGUGGAAGCAGAAAAUGUUUAUUUUAUACUUAUAGAAAUCCUCCUUCGACUUCGCCGUAUCGUAGCCAGCGGACAUCAUGUCAAUUUUAAUUGUACAAGGAGGCAAUGUUUUAUUAAACACACGCCGAAUUAAAUAUAUAGAUUCCUACUAUCCUACUUAGUGCUCAUUUUACGAUGGAUAUCACUUGAAACAGAAUAUCAUAUCAAUCAAUUUUGUCUACGAAGUUCAUAAGGAAGAUUGGCUCAUUAACAUAACAUAUAUAUACUCGUUUACCGUAUCUUGUGGUACGCAGAUGUACGAAUGUACGCAUCAACGUGACGGAUUCUUUAGACUACCGCGUUGUGGUGGUGUUUAGUUAUCACGAACUUGAACAACCUAAUCCGACGUGUCAGCUCCCCGUCACGGUCACGCACCAGCGGUCCUGCUGAGCAACCUCCUAAAUACUGAGAAGAAACACUUGAACCACCUGUGCGUCAGUUCUACGUAGAUAGGUAUCCAACGUAGGACCCUUGACAGAAGGAAGGUAGUUUAUGACCGAGGAAACUAUCUCGUUUCAGAUGUUGCUGGACGUUCAUGGUUUAUUUUGUUUGUUACGUGUAAUCGUAUUCAUUAAAGGAUCGAUUGAUUAUGAGGGAGACAUUACUUUAUUUUAUAGCUGUAGCAAAUAAAUGUCUCCCUCAUAAACGCUGCCUUGACCUAUAGAAAUAAAAUCAAG